GCCGUGAGGUGUUGGGUUAAGUCCCGCAACGAGCGCAACCCUCACUCUAUGUUGCCAUCGGGUAAUGCCGGGCACUCUUAGGGAACCGCCGGCGAAGAGCUGGAGGAAGGGGGGGAUGACGUCAAGUCCGUAUGCCCCUUAUGUCCAGGGCUACACACAUGCUACAAUGGCCGAUACAGAGGGUUGCCAACCCGCGAGGGGGAGUCAAUCCCACAAAGUCGGUCUCAGUUCGGAUUGCAGGCUGCAACUCGCCUGCAUGAAGUCGGAAUCGCUAGUAAGCGCAGAUCAGCAGGCUGCGCUGAAUACGUUCCCGGGCCUUGUACACACCGCCCGUCACACCACGAAAGCCGGUUGUACCAGAAGUCGCUGAGCCAACCGCAAGGGAGCAGGCGCCGAAGGUAUGGUCGGUGAUUGGGGUGAAGUCGUAACAAGGUAGCCGUAGGGGAACCUGCGGCUGGAUCACCUCCUUUCUAAGGAGCUUCGAGGGUCCGGGGGUCUCCGGAUCUCCGGGCCCUCAACAGCUUCCGCUCCGCAGCAACGCUUACUCUUCCCGUAUGAGCCAGUAGCAUUUAUUCUUCUGGGCCUUUAGCUCAGCUGGCUAGAGCGCGCGCUUGAUAAGCGCGAGGUCCCUGGUUCGACCCCAGGAAGGCCCACCAGGAUAGGCAACCAUCGCUCGGCAAUGCGGGGAAACCCGCAGAGCCGGUCCGAUGGGUUCGGGGAUGUAGCUCAGUUGGGAGAGCACCUGCUUUGCAAGCAGGGGGUCGCCGGUUCGAAUCCGGUCAUCUCCACCAAACGCCGAAGCGAUCACCGAGUGUCGCGGCUCUGGCCGCGUAGCUCUUUGACAAUUGAAUACGAUGAUUCUCGAGUGUAGCCAAGCGAUGUUCUUCUUAGGCAACGCGACCACAACUCGUGGUCAAGCUACUAAGGGCGAACGGUGGAUGCCUUGGCGCCAGGAAGCGAUGAAGGGCGUGGCUAGCUGCGAUAAGCCUCGGGGAGCCGCAAGCAGGCUUUGAUCCGAGGAUGC
rnacentral:sRNA from 1 species